CUCAAAUUUGAAAUCUGGUCCCCUUUGGGGGCCCGAGUUGUAAUUUGAAGAGGAUGCUUUUGGCGAGGCGCCGUCCGAGUUCCCUGGAACGGGACGCCGCAGAGGGUGAGAGCCCCGUACGGUCGGACGCCGAGCCUCUGUAAAGCUCCUUCGACGAGUCGAGUAGUUUGGGAAUGCUGCUCAAAAUGGGAGGUAAACCCCUUCUAAAGCUAAAUACCGGCCAGAGACCGAUAGCGCACAAGUAGAGUGAUCGAAAGAUGAAAAGCACUUUGAAAAGAGAGUUAAAAAGCACGUGAAAUUGUUAAAAGGGAAGCGCUUGCGACCAGACUUGCGCCCGUCGGAUCAACCGUCGCUUGCGGCGGCGCACUCCGGCGGGCUCAGGCCAGCAUCAGUUCGCUCGGGGGGAGAAAGGCGGCGGGAAUGUAGCUCCUAGGAGUGUUAUAGCCCGCCGUGUAAUACCCUCGGGUGGACUGAGGACCGCGCGUAUGCAAGGAUGCUGGCGUAAUGGUCGUCAGCGACCCGUCUUGAAACACGGACCAAGGAGUCGUCCUAAUAUGCGAGUGUACGGGUGUCAAACCCCUGCGCGUAAUGAAAGUGAACGGAGGUGAGAGCUUCGGCGCAUCAUCGACCGAUCCUGAUGUUAUCGGAUGGAUUUGAGUAAGAGCAUAUUGGGCCGGACCCGAAAGAAGGUGAACUAUGCCUGUGUAGGGUAAAGCCAGAGGAAACUCUGGUGGAGGCUCGCAGCGGUUCUGACGUGCAAAUCGAUCGUCAAACAUGGGCAUGGGGGCGAAAGACUAAUCGAACCUUCUAGUAGCUGGUUUCCGCCGAAGUUUCCCUCAGGAUAGCAGUGUUGAAUUUCUCAGUUUUAUGAGGUAAAGCGAAUGAUUAGGGACUCGGGGGCGCUUUUUAGCCUUCAUCCAUUCUCAAACUUUAAAUAUGUAAGAAGCCCUUGUUACUUC
rnacentral:rRNA from 1 species